rnacentral:rRNA from 1 species
CCUACGGGGUGCUGCAGUCGAGAAUCAUUCACAAUGGGGGAAACCCUGAUGGUGCGACGCCGCGUGGGGGAAUGAAGGUCUUCGGAUUGUAAACCCCUGUCAUGUGGGAGCAAAUUAAAAAGAUAGUACCACAAGAGGAAGAGACGGCUAACUCUGUGCCAGCAGCCGCGGUAAUACAGAGGUCUCAAGCGGUGUUCGGAAUCACUGGGCGUAAAGCGUGCGUAGGCUGUUUCGUAAGUCGUGUGUGAAAGGCGCGGGCUCAACCCGCGGACGGCACAUGAUACUGCGAGACUAGAGUAAGGGAGGGGGAACCGGAAUUCUCGGUGUAGCAGUGAAAUGCGUAGAUAUCGAGAGGAACACUCGUGGCGAAGGCGGGUUCCUGGACAUUAACUGACGCUGAGGCACGAAGGCCAGGGGAGCGAAAGGGAUUAGAUACCCCUGUAGUC